rnacentral:lncRNA from 1 species
GACCAGAAAAAGCAUAGAAAAAUUAGAUCCACACACAGCACCCAAAAAAGGCCAUAGUCUUUUGUUUACCUAGAUGUAUUUUAACCUCUUUACCACUAAGCAUUUUACUAUAAUAGAACUGGGGACAUACAUUGUCCUUUUGAGUCCGUUGAAUCUGCACCAUCUACCUUUUGGCUGAUUCACCAUACAGGUGGCAAAGGCCUUUAAAAAUGGGGAGCUAAUACGUAGGGCACAUUCUGGUAGGGCCAAAAUAUUCAGUGUCUGGGGGGUGCUAUGCAAAUAUCAAUGACUUUUUACUAAAAACAGUGGAUUUCCUCAUUUCUUUAAGAUCCAAGUAGAAAAUGUAAAUAACUUACAUUCUGUAUGCAGGACUCAAUACAGACUUAGUCAAUCUGAUUUUUUUUGGUGCUUUUCAGUAUAGCGCAACUCUAAAAGGAAACCCAUUCACCCUCCUUAGUCCUUUGAAGUAUACUUUUGAAAUUAUACCUUAUUGUUAAUGGCAACCUAAUCAAGCUAGGAUUUGUCGGUUAAAAUUUUGAUUCUUGUAAUCUGUACUGUCAAUUUUUGGCCACUCUGGCUGUUACAGCAAACUUUUCUCCCACUGUCAUAAUUGGUCUAAAGUAGUAUUUGUUUCAGGACUAUCCAAAAAGCAAGGCCAGCACAUUGAGAAGAUGCAGAAUCCUACUCUAUUACAAACCUCACUCAUGUUUCUUUUAUUGAAACCUUUUUCUACUUUAUAUUUCCUCUUUUGUAAAUUUUUCCAUGUCAUUUAAAAAAUUUUUUACUUUAGAAUUACAGAUUAGUUCUUUUUUUAAAGCAUUAUGGCAUUUUCAAAAAAAAAAUUAUUUUGGUUACCCAAAAAGCUAUACAAGAAAUAUAACUUCAAUUUUUUAGGUUGAUAUGGGUAUAUUUUUAAAGUUUUUAUUACUUUAUACAAAUACAAAUUAAUUUAUAUUAUAGUUUAACACCUGCUAUGAUGAUAGAUAUCACACUGCUAUGAUAGAAAAUCCCUGUCUGUCAUUGAACUAUUCAUUUAGUGUUACUCUGAUAUGUUAAUAAUGUAUUCCUUCUAAUGAAGUCCUUGUAACAAGAAACCCUGUGAGAUUGGUAUAAUGAGAUAUCAAAUAAUCAGAAGUAUAAUUAAAAUAGAACAUGUUGGAAAAUCCCAACAUUUCCUGUUAUGCCGUCAUACCUCCGGUGUUCAGUUUGUUACUCAAAAGUUCCCAGUUCUUAGGCUGAAAAACAUUCAAGUAAAAAUGUAGCAUAGAUUACACUGAAAUAUUUUCAGUAUCAAUGAUUUAAUAUCCACACAAACUAUUAGGAAUGGUAUCUGGAACUUGUUACAAGGUCAGAUAAACUGUUACAGAAUUUUAGAAAUAAUUAUCUCUGUAUGUGACUGUGUAUUACAUAUAAAAAUGAAUUUUUCAGGAAAAGUGCACUUUAAAAAUACUUUCUCUUGCUAGUUUUUUAAAUUGAUGAAAUAGCCUGUGCUGCUUUGGAAUGCUUAUUCUUUCUUUGAUGAAAAUACGGUCAUUGAUUAUGAUAAUUUUAAAAAUAUCUAUUUCUGCAUCGCUGCAGGAUUUCCUACACUUUUCUGUUCCUCAUCCCUCUUUUAUGUGUGCUUGGCUCAGUUGCCUGUUACACAGCCUCUGCCUUGGUUUUGUGUAUUCUAAGAUAAUUUAUAAACACAGAUAUUUACAGUGAAGUUCUUCCUUUUGAAACUAAUCUUAUUCUUUUAUUCCUCUCUCUAAAAAUUGGUUGGCCAUGCUCACUAAUGAUUUUUUUUCUUAACAAUAAGCAUUUCUUGGUAUUGGUAGAUUUGGAUUGCAUGGUAAGAUGACUGCCCAUUUUCACCAUGUAUACCUUUGUCAAAUAAAGAUUUCUGAUCUUUGGUC